GGAUGUGAGGGAGAUCUGGUGGUAACAUCUGUUACCCUACUGACCACCAGGGUAGACUGGGCUGCCCUGGCUGGCUAGACAGGUGUCCCCUUCUGCCCCUGCUGCUCCAUGUAUCUCCCUCUUGAACCCACAUGCUCAAUUGAAAAGAAUAACCUUCCCAGAUAGAGGAGGCCCAUUCUUUAGAUUAGGUGCUGUGGUCCAUGCCACAACCUCCAAAUAGGCUCUCAAAAAAGCCAAAUCCAGUAAAGGUCUCCCAGGGAAAUGACUCUAGAUU
ensembl:misc_RNA 7SK 7SK RNA